UAGGAUGUGGUGUAGGGGUAGCACGGAGAUUUUUGAAUUCUUAAGCGCAGGUUCAAGUCCUGUUGUCCUAG
rnacentral:tRNA from 1 species